rnacentral:rRNA from 1 species
GAUGAACGCUGGCGGCGUGCCUAAUACAUGCAAGUCGAGCGAACAGACGAGGAGCUUGCUCCUCUGACGUUAGCGGCGGACGGGUGAGUAACACGUGGAUAACCUACCUAUAAGACUGGGAUAACUUCGGGAAACCGGAGCUAAUACCGGAUAAUAUAUUGAACCGCAUGGUUCAAUAGUGAAAGACGGUUUUGCUGUCACUUAUAGAUGGAUCCGCGCCGCAUUAGCUAGUUGGUAAGGUAACGGCUUACCAAGGCAACGAUGCGUAGCCGACCUGAGAGGGUGAUCGGCCACACUGGAACUGCGACACGGUCCAGACUCCUACGGGAGGCAGCAGUAGGGAAUCUGCCGCAAUGGGCGAAAGCCUGACGGAGCAACGCCGCGUGAGUGAUGAAGGUCUUCGGAUCGUAAAACUCUGUUAUUAGGGAAGAACAAAUGUGUAAGUAACUAUGCACGUCUUGACGGUACCUAAUCAGAAAGCCACGGCUAACUACGUG